CCCUACGGGAGGCAGCAGUGGGGAAUAUUGCACAAUGGGGGAAACCCUGAUGCAGCGACGCCGCGUGAGUGAAGAAGUAUUUCGGUACGUAAAGCUCUAUCAGCAGGGAAGAAAAAAAGUCCUUUGGACUUUGGACGGUACCUGACUAAGAAGCCCCGGCUAACUACGUGCCAGCAGCCGCGGUAAUACGUAGGGGGCAAGCGUUAUCCGGAUUUACUGGGUGUAAAGGGAGCGUAGACGGCAGCGCAAGUCUGGAGUGAAAUCCCAUGGCUUAACCAUGGAACUGCUUUGGAAACUGUGCAGCU
rnacentral:rRNA from 1 species